GCCGGGGUGGCCGAGCGGUCCAAGGCGAUGGCCUGGAGAGCCAUUGCCCGCAAGGGCGCCCGGGUUCAAAUCCCGGCCCCGGCGCCA
rnacentral:tRNA from 1 species